rnacentral:rRNA from 1 species
GACGUAGGGCGCGAGCGUUGUCCGGAUUUAUUGGGCGUAAAGAGCUCGUAGGCGGCUUGUCGCGUCGAAUGUGAAAAACUCGGGGCUCAACUCCGAGCUUGCAUUCGAUACGGGCAGGCUAGAGUUCGGUAGGGGAGACUGGAAUUCCUGGUGGUAGCGUGAAAUGCGCAGAGUAUCUGAAGGAACACCGGUGGCGAAGACGG